AAGGGCACCACAAGAACGCGUGGAGCAUGUGGCUUAAUUUGACUCAACGCGGGAAAUCUUACCGGGUCCGGACACACUGAGGAUUGACAGGCAAUAUUAAUAAAAAUAUGCAUUCGUGCAUUAUUUUUAUUAUGUUAAAUAUGCUAGUCCUUUCAUGAUUAUGUGAUAGGUGGUGCAUGGCCGUUCUUAGUUCGUGGAGUGAUCUGUCUGCUUAAUUGCGUUUCACUAAGGGCUUAUAAAUUUACGUGCGCUGUGAGUACUUUGACCCCUAUGUUGAAAUAUUACAUAGUGCGUGUCUUAGUUUGCUUCACUCGCACAAUUAAGUCCUGAAAGCAACGAACGUGACCGCAACCUCUUGUUGCCUUUAACCAUAUACGUAUUUUUUUAUUUUUAAUAAAUUAAUACAUAAAAAGGCUUUUAAACUAGAGGGACCGCUGUAAUCUUUUUAAACCAGAUCGGAAGGUUGCGGCAAUAACAGGUCUGUGAUGCCCUUAGAUGUUCCGGGCUGCACACGUGCUACAAUGAUUAUUGCAGUGAGCAUCUCAUUUUUUUUUACACACCGCAUGCGCGAGUCCAUUUAUUGGCAUUCCUUUUGUGUUUGCACUUUAAAUGUGUUUUACUUUGCGCGCGGUAAAGCCUGCUUCGAAAGUAAGUGGGUAAUCAAUUAGAAGUAAUGAUUUCCCAAAUUUAUAUAGCACACAUAUAUACGGCAUUUUUACCCGGAUUAAGCUUGUCUUAAUUUUUGUGUGUAUUAAUGUUUUUUUCCGUAUGUGCAAUUGUCAAUUCAUGGUGGGGACAGACCAUUGUUAAUUGUUGGUCUCGGUCUUAACUAGGAAUGCCUUGUACGGGUCUUUGGUUCAACAAACCACCCGGAAUACGUCCCUGCCCUUUGUACACACCGCCCGUCGCUCUUACCGAUGGACUUCUCUGUGAGUUUGAGGGACUGGGUAUUUUUAUAUUAUUUUUAUAAUGUAAAUACCACCUAUGGAAACUUAAACGAACAGUGUGGUCUAAAGGAAAGAGAAGUCG
rnacentral:rRNA from 1 species